GAUGGUCUUUUUUUAUUACAUUUUUGGUUCACAAUAGAACCUGAAGAAGGAACACAAAGAAACACAACAGAGACUCACUCUUUUGCUAGUAAUUUCAAACAAACUACCACUGACAAGAAGACACAAGCAAACGUGGAAGCAUACAAAAAAAAAAAAAGGGACUCUCAACAAGUUCAGAUAAUAUUAACCAGUUCCUCCAAGAACACCCUUCAGCUUCUUAAUCUGAGCAGCAUCCAGAAAAGUGGUUUCUUCAAUAAUGUCAGUCGGCAAGUCAUUUGCAAACAAGGCAAAGUCGAGGAUUUGGAGACCAGGGUCUGGACUGCUGAAGGAUACAAAUGCCAAGGAUUGAGUUUUGCCUGCAUUGAUUUGGAAAUGUAAUAAACCUUGUGGGAAUACCAUAAUGUCUCCUUUAUUCAGAGAUUUGAAGUAAACUUUGUUAGCUGAGGAUAUGAAACCAGCACAAAUUGUGCCUUGAAUAACAACAAGGACUUCAGAAGCCCCAGGGUGUGUAUGCAUAGGUAUCACUCCACCAACAGAUAAAUCCAAACGAGCUAUUGAAAUGCCGAGUCCGUUAACACCCGGGAAUUGAGCCGAAAAGGCUGGUGUUACUGCAGCUUUUAUGAGGUUCGAAGUGUUGCCUGUGGCAGCGAGGCCGGAGUAAACGAAGUCAUUUACGGUGACUGUCUUCUUGCAAGAAUAGCCUGCAGGGCCUACAGGGCCAUUCAAGUCCCCAACACAGAAGUCGGCUGCGUUGGUGGAGGAAAAUAGGAAAGAUAAAAUGAAAAAGAUUGGGAUAAACAUGUUUAUGGCACUGGUUUUU
rnacentral:lncRNA from 1 species